UACGGGGGGGGGCAAGCGUUGUUCGGAAUUACUGGGCGUAAAGGGCUCGUAGGCGGCCAACUAAGUCAGACGUGAAAUCCCCCAGGCUUAACCUGGGAACUGCAUUCGAGACUGCAUUGCUAGAGUAUGGGAGAGGGAAGUGGAAUUUCCGGUGUAGCGGUGAAAUGCGUAGAUAUCGGAAGGAACAUCAGUGGCGAAAGCGACUUCUGGACCAAUACUGACGCUCAUGUGCGAAAGCGUGGGGAGCAAACAGG
rnacentral:rRNA from 1 species